AUUGAACGCUGGCGGCAGGCCUAACACAUGCAAGUCGAACGAGUGGCGGACGGGUGAGUAAUGUCUGGGAAAAUGCCCGAUGGAGGGGGAUAACUACUGGAAACGGUAGCUAAUACCGCAUACCAUCGGAUGUGCCCAGAUGGGAUUAGCUUGUAGGUGAGGUAACGGCUCACCUCGGCGACGAUCCCUAGCUGGUCUGAGAGGAUGACCAGACAAACGGGGAAUGAGAGACAGUCCAUACUCCUACGGCAGGCAGAAAUUGGGAAGAUUGAACAAUUGGCGCGAGACUGAUGAAGUCAUGCCGGGGGUAUGAAGAAGGCCUUCGGUUUGUAAAGUACUUUCAGCGGGGAGGCGUUACCCGCAGAAGAAGCACCGGCUAACUCCGUGCCAGCCGCGGCGGUAAUUG
rnacentral:rRNA from 1 species